rnacentral:rRNA from 1 species
CUGCCCAGUGAACCAAUUAAACGGCCGCGGUAUCCUAACCGUGCAAAGGUAGCGUAAUCACUUGUCUCCUAAUUAGAGACCCGUACGAACGGCUAGAUGAGGGCUAGACUGUCUUCUACAACCACUCAAUGAAACUGAACUUUCAGUGAAUAAGCUGAACUAAACCCAUAAGACGAGAAGACCCCGCGGAGCUUUAAGCAACCCACUACCAAAGAAACCACGGCCAAAAACUACCCACACCACUCACGGAUUUUACGCCACUAACCUAAGGCCUAGUUAAGGAAGCGCUUUCAGUUGGGGCGACUACGGAGCAAAACAAAGCCUCCAUGAACAAGGGCUCCCCGCCCAUUAUAGGCCAACAAGCCAAAAAUAUUCCUCACUUUGACCCAGUAUAACUGACCACCGAACCAAGUUACCCCGGGGAUAACAGCGCCAUCCUCUUAAAGAGCCCGUAUCGCCAAGAGGGUUUACGACCUCGAUGUUGGAUCAGGACACCCUGGCAGUGCAGCCGCUGCCAAAGGUUCGUUUGUUCAACGAUUAAUGCCCUACGUGAUCUGAGUUCAGACCGGAGUAAUCCAGGAC